rnacentral:lncRNA from 13 species
AUGGGACAGCAGAGACCCAGGCCACUGUGGGACAACCUCGCUCACCUCCUAGAUGAGGCAUCAGUCCAGGGAGCUCACAAGAUCUUCCAGGCCACCCAAACGGUUCAGUCGCUGAAAAGCAUGGAAGGAAUUCAGGUGGAACCUGCAAGAAAGAGGACAAAAGGCAGAAGGAAACUGAGGCUCAGAAAGGUUCAUUGUCUUGCCCAAGGUCACACAGCUCCUAAUGGGAGACGCCAGGUAAAAACCAGCUCGCCUGUAUGGAGUCGGGGUAAGGACACAGUCUUUUACUCCAGCCCCAGGAUGUAAGGCUCCCCCUCCCCUGGCCUCUCUGCACAUUUAAUUUACACUUUGC